rnacentral:lncRNA from 1 species
GUGACCGGCACUGGGAGGGGCGUUGAGGUUUGCAAAGCGCUCGGCGUCUCCUCCCAUGGGACCCUCACAGCCCCGGGAAGGACGUGCUCUUGUAUGUCCCAUUGUACAGAAGAAGCAGGUGAGGCUGAGAGAAAUUAGCCAGGAAGUGUCCGAUCUGUGCACUGUCCGGCUGCAGCCUUCAGUAGAGUCUACAGGGCCCCAGCCUGGAACACCAGAGGAUCUGUGGAGAUAGAACUGAGCCUGACAGUGAAGGCCCCAGACUGCUCUUUUCCAAGAAACGAACAUGGACGAAGAGGAGGGAAUGACGUCUGGGUUCCUCACAGCUAAGUCGCAGGUGAGUUGGGAUCUCUUCCUUAUGACUUCAGAACAUGGGCAUUUCCUUCUCUCAAGUCAGCUCUGACACUGCUCUUAGAAAGCGG